rnacentral:rRNA from 1 species
AGUGAACGCUGGCGGCAGGCUUAACACAUGCAAGUCGAACGGCAGCACAGUAAGAGCGUGCGCUUACGGGGGGGGAGUGGGGGACGGGUGAGGAAAACAUCGGAAUCUAGUUUUUCGUGGGGGAUAACGAAGGGAAACCUACGCUAGGACCGCAGACGCCCUACGGGGGAAAGCGGGGGAACGUCGGACCUUGCGGGAAUGAACGAGCGGAUGUCGGAUUAGCUAGUUGGCGGGCUAAUGGCCCAGCAAGGCGGCGAUCGGUAGCUGGUCUGAGAGGCUGAUCGCCCACCCUGGAACGGAGCCGCGGUCCAUACUCCUACGGGAGGCCGCAGUCGGGAACAUUGGGCAACGGGCGCGAGCCUUGUCCAGCCAGCCCGCGUCGGUGACGACGGCCUUCGGGUUGUAAAGCCCUUUUGUUGGGAAAGAAAAGCAGCCGGUUAAUACCCCGCUGUUCUGACGGUACCCAAAGAAUAAGCACCGGCUAACUUCGUG